rnacentral:rRNA from 1 species
AUUGAACGCUGGCGGCAUGCUUUACACAUGCAAGUCGAGCGGCAGCGCGGGGGCAACCCUGGCGGCGAGCGGCGGACGGGUGAGUAAUGCCUAGGAAUCUGCCUGUUAGUGGGGGAUAACUCGGGGAAACUCGGGCUAAUACCGCAUACGUCCUACGGGAGAAAGUGGGGGAUCUUCGGACCUCACGCUAACAGAUGAGCCUAGGUCGGAUUAGCUAGUAGGCGAGGUAAUGGCUCACCUAGGCGACGAUCCGUAACUGGUCUGAGAGGAUGAUCAGUCACACUGGAACUGAGACACGGUCCAGACUCCUACGGGAGGCAGCAGUGGGGAAUAUUGGACAAUGGGCGAAAGCCUGAUCCAGCCAUGCCGCGUGUGUGAAGAAGGUCUUCGGAUUGUAAAGCACUUUAAGUUGGGAGGAAGGGUAUUCACCUAAUACGUGGGUACUUUGACGUUACCAACAGAAUAAGCACCGGCUAACUCUGUGCCAGCCGCCGCGGUAAGAC